GAGGGCAUAGCUUAGUGGUGGAGCAAUUGCCUAGCAUGCACAAGGCCCUGGGUUCAAUUCCCAGUACCUUAA
rnacentral:tRNA from 1 species